rnacentral:misc_RNA from 1 species
AAGUCGUAACAAGGUUUCCGUAGGUGAACCUGCGGAAGGAUCAUUACCGAGAUAGGGUCCUUCGGGGGCCCGACCUCCAACCCUUUAUCUAUCUACCUCUGUUGCCUCGGCAGGCCGUCGGACCCCCCCCGGGGGGGUACCGCCAUCGGCCUCACCGCUCUUGAGCGCCUGCCGCGGGACCAACCAAACCCUUUUAUUGAAGCCUUCUGAUAGUAUUAUACAAUACUUUAAAA